rnacentral:rRNA from 1 species
GAUUGAUCCUGUCAGUAGUCAUAUGCUUGUCUCAAAGAUUAAGCCAUGCAUGUCUAAGUACACGCCUUUAUACGGCGAAACCGCGAAUGGCUCAUUAAAUCAGCUAUGGUUUAUUGGAUCUUUUCAAUUACUCGGAUAACUGCAGUAAUUCUGGAGCUAAUACGUGCAACUAAGCCCAGACCUUUACGGAAUGGGCGCAUUUAUUAGAUCAAAACCAACCACACUUCGGUGUGUCCUUGUUGAUGACUCUGGAUAACUUUGCUGAUCGCAUGGCCUUCGAGCCGGCGACGUAUCUUUCAAAUGUCUGCCCUAUCAACUUACGAUGGUAGGUGAUAUGCCUACCAUGGUUGUAACGGGUAACGGGGAAUCAGGGUUCGAUUCCGGAGAGGGAGCCUGAGAAACGGCUACCACAUCUAAGGAAGGCAGCAGGCGCGCAAAUUACCCACUCCCGGCACGGGGAGGUAGUGACGAAAAAUAACGAUACGGAACUCUUUUGAGGCUCCGUAAUUGGAAUGAGUACAAUUUAAAUCCUUUAACGAGGAUCCAUUGGAGGGCAAGUCUGGUGCCAGCAGCCGCGGUAAUUCCAGCUCCAAUAGCGUAUAUUAAAGUUGUUGCAGUUAAAAAGCUCGUAGUUGGAUCUGAGGACUAGAGAUAAUGGUGCGAUAACCUCGUUACUGUUAUUUCUGCCUAAAAAGACAGUGCUAGGCAUUGGUGCUCUUAAUUGAGUGCUUUUGCUGCCUGUCAAGUUUACUUUGAAAAAAUUAGAGUGCUCAAAGCAGGCGCUUUGCCUGAAUAGUGGUGCAUGGAAUAAUGGAAUAAGAUCUUCGGAUCUAUUUUGUUGGUUUUCGGAAGCCGAGGUAAUGAUUAAGAGAGACAGACGGGGGCAUUCGUAUUGUGGUGUUAGAGGUGAAAUUCUUGGAUCGCCGCAAGACGAACAACUGCGAAAGCAUUUGCCAAGCAUGUUUUCAUUAAUCAAGAACGAAAGUCAGAGGUUUGAAGACGAUCAGAUACCGUCCUAGUUCUGACCAUAAACGAUGCCAGCUGGCGAUCCGCGGUGGUUGUUAUUUUCGACCCCGCGGGCAGCCUCCGGGAAACCAAAGCCUUUGGGUUCCGGGGGAAGUAUGAUUGCAAAGUCGAAACUUAAAGGAAUUGACGGAAGGGCACCACCAGGAGUGGAGCCUGCGGCUUAAUUUGACACAACACGGGAAAACUCACCCGGCCCGGACACUGUUAGGAUUGACAGAUUGAAAGCUCUUUCUCGAUUCGGUGGGUGGUGGUGCAUGGCCGUUCUUAGUUGGUGGAGCGAUUUGUCUGGUUAAUUCCGAUAACGAGCGAGACUCUAGCCUGCUAAAUAGUCGGGUCGUAUAGUUUAGCGACUUUAUGACUUCUUAGAGGGACAAGC